UUUCAAAGGUGUGUGGUUUUCAAAUAAGC
rnacentral:piRNA from 2 species